CGCAUUUUUCCAGAUUCAUUCGUAGUUUAUGAAGUACUUAGAAAUUUGUGACAAAUGCAAUCUGUAAAUGAUGUGCCGAGUUUUGCUCUGUGUUAUUGAUUCUUCUUUUCCGCAAUUGAGGGUUUUGAAUUGUGUUAGCUCAGGAGUAAAGAGCUUCUCUAUUUUCCUUCCUUUUUUGAGUAUUACUAAAUUCUAAUGGUUUAGUUCUGUUUUUGUUGAUGAGUUGAAAUGAUGUAGCAGAUUGAGCUUUAGAAUUAAAUUCUGAAGAUAUCCAUUUUUGCUGAGUGUAUGGCAAAAUCUUAUGGCAAAGGAUUUGUUUUCAAUUCUUGGAUUGUUUGCUCUGAUUAAUUUACAUUUUACAAGGUUCAGAAGAUUAAGUGAACUAUUGAAAAGAUGCAUUUGAUUUUUAUAUACUUAUGUGAAAAGUACUCAGUAGAGUUUUGUGAUUUUAAAUUUUAGUGAGUAUGGCAUAUGCAUGUCUUGCACAGUUGCUCCUCCUGAACUUCUCUUUGAAUAUUCUUCGAGACUGUGUUUAUGGAUCUUUAAUAGUCGAUUGAAUCACAGAGAAAAGGGGUAGUGGUGAAGGGGUGAGGUUUUUUUCCGGAUGGAAGCUGAUCAGAUUGACGUUGAUGGUAGUGUUGGAAGUGCGACCGGGACAACUUACACCCCUCCAGCCCCUACGCCUCAGGAGGAAAUUGACCCCGGCCGAGCUUUGUCUAUGAAGAUGAAGGUCAAGGGCACCAAUCAAGAAUCGCACGAAAAAGAUAAACCUCCAACUCCAAGUAGUGUCUCAAGCUGUAAUGUCUUCAAGAGCCAACUGCAAGAAUAUUGCCAGAAAAUCAGACUAACUAUGCCAGUUUAUGAAUCUAUCAAGGAAGGCCCUUCUCACGUGCCAGUUUUUAAAUCAACUGUUGUUGUGAACAAUGCCAGAUAUGUUUCUCUACCUGGAUGUUACAAUCGGAAGGCAGCUGAGCAGUCGGCUGCUGAAGUUGCCAUCCUGGCGCUAGCCAAAUCCAAUAAUAGUAGCAGUGAGAUCUCUCAGCCUGUGAUGGAAGCCAGUCAGAUUGACGUUGGUUGUAGUGUUAGAAUUGCGACCGGGACAACUUACACCCCUCCAGCCCCUACAACUCAGGAGGAAAUUGACCGCGGCCGAACUUUGUCUAGGAAGAUGAAGGUCAAGGGUACCAAUCAAGAAUCACACAAAAAAAAUAAACCUCCAAGUGUCUCAAGCUGUUAUGGCUUCAAGAGCCAACUGCUAGAAUAUUGCCAGAAAACCGGACUAACUAUGCCAGCUUAUGAAACUAUCAAGGAAGGCCCUUCUCAUGAGCCAGUUUUUAAAUCAACUGUUGUUGUGAACAAUGCCAGAUAUGUUUCUCUACCUGGAUUUUACAAUCGGAAGGCAGCAGAGCAAUCGGCUGCUGAAGUUGCCCUCCUAGCGCUAGCCAAAUCCAAUAAUAGUAGCAAUGGGAUCUCCCAGCCUGUGAUGGAAGCUGGUCAAAUUGACGUUGGUGGUAUUGUUGGAAUUGCAACUGGGACAACUUACACCCCUCCAGCCCCUACAACUCAGUCGGAAAUUGACCUCAGCCGAGAUUUGUCUAGGAAGAUGAAGGUCAUGGGCACCAAUCUAGAAUCACACGAAAAAAAUAAACCUCCAAGUGUCUCAAGCUGUUAUGUUUUCAAGAGCCAACUGCUAGAAUAUUGCCAGAAAACUGGCCUAACUACGCCUACUUAUGAAACUAUCAAGGAAGGCCCUUCUCACGAGCCAGUUUUUAAAUCAACUGUUGUUGUGAACAAUGUCAGAUAUGUUUCUCUACCUGGAUUUUACAAUCGGAAGGCAGCAGAGCAGUCGGCUGCAGAAGUUGCCCUCUUAGCGCUUGCCAAAUCCAAUAAUAGUAGCAGUGAGAUCUCCCAACCUGUGCUCAAGACAGGCUUGUGCAAGAACUUGCUACAAGAUUAUGCUCAAAAGAUGAACAAUGUUAGUCCUUUGUAUACGUGCCGUUGGGAAGAGAAGGAAGGCAAAACGCCCAUAUUUUCCUGCGUCGUUGCAAUUGGGAGUAUCAUGUAUACUGGAGCUUCAGCAGGCACAAAGAAAGAAGCCGAGAUAAAAGCUGCUAGGACAGCCUUGCUAGCCAUUCAGACAGCAGUGCCCGUCACCGAAGAUCACACGAGCAACCCCAUUUACACCGUUGUCCCACAAAAAAGGAAGGGAUCUGAUCUUGCUAUCAGCAUUCAGGAGACUAAAGAGUCAUUGAAGCCAAAGAAAGGCUGGGUCAAGAAGCAGUAUCAAAAGAAGUGGCAGCCUGUGAAGAAAGACAACCCUGCUGGAGGUACGGCUUGUUUGGAGGUCAAUGCAGAUGGCCGGACAGGAGUCGAAUCAACUGCUACCGUUGGACAGGAAGGAUUGCAAGUGGAUGCAGCCGAUACUGUCGGCUCCUGAGGCACGACGAACGGUGGUUCGGAUAUGCAUCAGCAUGAGGGUGGCCAAAGACACGAGGAUGCAGCUGAUAAUGAGAUAGAUGAAGAUGAUUUUGAAAUAAUCUUGUGAAAAGUGAUGAUGGUGUUCUAUGAAUACAGAGACGAGACAGACCGCGCCAGCGUGUACCAAAACACGAGUGGCUGGUGAGCUUGCAGAGGACCGGCAUAUCUGAACUGCGUGGAUUUGGCAAUGCAGAAGUUUAGGAACUUGACUCCGAGGGUGAUCAGGCACUCGUUCGCGCUUCUUCUCACAGUUUCUGCAAAUCGCAUUAGGUAAGUACAUUGUCGUCAAUCUUGAUAGCCUUUCUACAUUUCUUGAGACCAUACAAUUUACAAAUCUUGAUCACUCUAAACACACACACACAGACACAUAUAUAGAAACAAACAUGAAAGUGAAGCAUACCUUGUGACAAUUCUGCCAAAAAUGCUGCCAAAUUGAGUACUAGAAGCAAUCCAACAAGAACAACAAUGCUGUGCCAAGAACUUCUCAUUCUGUUUGUCUUUUCACAAUCAGAACCCAAAAAUAACUCCAUUACUUAUCACUCUUGAAUGAUGAUUGUUUCUUUUUCCCUUUUCUUAAGCAGUGAUUUGUGUGUUUAUGAACGAGACUAUUUAUAGAAGAAGGUCGUUUGAUUGAAGCUUGCUAUGGAAUCAUGGCAAAUUGUCAACUAGUUGUGUCAAAUGAUUAUCAUAAUGUUGGUGUCAAUAAUUAAACACUACAUGUAUGCAUAUAAAAAGGCUUUGUUCUUGUGGUGCAAGGAGUCAACUCUGUGUACAAAAAUGCAAGUUAUUCAACCUUAUUUCUUCGAUGAUAGUACAUUUUCAUAGUCUCAAU